GAUGAACGCUGGCGGCAGGCUUAAUACAUGCAAGUCGUGGGGCAGCAUGAAUGUAGCAAUACAUUUGAUGGCGACCGGCAAACGGGUGCGGAACACGUACACAACCUUCCGAUAAGUGGGGAAUAGCCCAGAGAAAUUUGGAUUAAUACCCCGUAACAUAUAGAGGUGGCAUCAUCUUUAUAUUAUAGCUACGGCGCUUAUUGAUGGGUGUGCGGCUGAUUAGAUAGUUGGCGGGGUAACGGCCCACCAAGUCUACGAUCAGUAGCUGAUGUGAGGGCAUGAUCAGCCACACGGGCACUGAGACACGGGCCCGACUCCUACGGGAGGCAGCAGUAAGGAGUAUUGGUCAAUGGACGCAAGUCUGAACCAGCCAUGCCGCGUGAAGGAUUAAGGUCCUCUGGAUUGUAAACUUCUUUUAUCUGGGACGAAAAAAGGCGAUUCUUCGUCACUAGACGGUACCAGAUGAAUAAGCACCGGCUAACUCCGUGCCAGCAGCCGCAGUAA
rnacentral:rRNA from 1 species